rnacentral:rRNA from 1 species
CGACGCGCAUGAAUGGAUUAAUGAGAUUCCCACUGUCCCUAAUUACUAUCUAGCGAAACCACAGCCAAGGGAACGGGCUUGGCAAAAUUAGCGGGGAAAGAAGACCCUGUUGAGCUUGACUUUAUUCAGAAUUUUGUGAAAUGGUGCUCGAGGUAUAGAAUAGGUGGGAGUGUAACGAAAUUGAAAUACCACUACUUUUGACGUUGUUUUACUUAUUAAAUAAAAACUAAAAGAUUAAUAAUCUUGAUUCUAGAAUUAACGAAUAUUACAUGUUGACUCCAUGUGGGUUAACCUCUGAUUUGGGAAGUUUGUUUAAGACAUUUUCUGGUGGGGAGUUUGGCUGGGGCGGCACAUCUGUUAAAAGAUAACACAGGUGUCCAAAGUAUAACUCAAUGAGAACGGAAAUCUCAUGUAGAAUAAAAGGGUAAAAGUUAUAUUGAUUUUGAUUUUCAGUAAGAAUACAAACCGUGAAAGCGUGGC